UUCUUUGCUAUCUGCUAAUGGAAUAAGGUG
rnacentral:piRNA from 1 species